GGGUCAGCAGGUUGGUCGUGCCACCGGUACGUACUGGUCUCACUGAUUCCUCCUUCCUGAAGAACCGUAAUGCCAUUAAUCUGGUGUUGCGGGGAAACAGGACUGUUACUUUGAAAAAAUUAGAGUGUUUAAAGCAAGCUAACGCUUGAAUACAUUAGCAUGGGAUAAUGAAAUAGGACGAUCGAUCCUAUUUUGUUGGUUUCUAGGAUUGACGUA
rnacentral:rRNA from 1 species